rnacentral:rRNA from 1 species
UACGGGGGGGGCAAGCGUUGUUCGGACUUACUGGGCGUAAAGCGCACGUAGGCGGCUCUUUAAGUCGGGGGUGAAAUCCUGGAGCUCAACUCCAGAACUGCCUUCGAUACUGUAGAGCUUGAGUUCGGGAGAGGUGAGUGGAACUGCGAGUGUAGAGGUGAAAUUCGUAGAUAUUCGCAAGAACACCAGUGGCGAAGGCGGCUCACUGGCCCGAUACUGACGCUGAGGUGCGAAAGCGUGGGGAGCAAACAGG